UACGUAGGGUGCGAGCGUUGUCCGGAAUUACUGGGCGUAAAGAGCUCGUAGGUGGUUUGUCGCGUUGUCCGUGAAAACUCACAGCUCAACUGUGGGCGUGCGGGCGAUACGGGCAGACUGGAGUACUGCAGGGGAGACUGGAAUUCCUGGUGUAGCGGUGAAAUGCGCAGAGUAUCAGGAGGAACACCGGUGGCGAAGGCGGUUCUCUGGGCAUGUCCUGACGCUGAGGAGCGAAAGUGUGGGGAGCGAACAGG
rnacentral:rRNA from 1 species